GAGGGGAUAGCUCAGGAGUAGAGCGUGUGCUUAGCACGCACGAGGUCCUGGGUUCAGUCCCCAGUACCUCCA
rnacentral:tRNA from 1 species